GAUGAACGCUAGCGGCAGGCUUAAUACAUGCAAGGCGAGGGGGCAGCAAUGUCACCGUCGUACGGGUGCGUAACGCGUAUGCAACCUACCUUCAACUGGGGGAUAGCCCGGGGAAACCCGGAUUAAUACCGCAUAACACAAUGGAGUCACCUGGUUUUAUUGUUAAAGAUUUAUUGGUUGAAGAUGGGCAUGCGUUCGAUUAGCUAGUUGGCGGGGUAACGGCCCACCAAGGCGACGAUCGAUAGGGGAGCUGAGAGGUUGAUCCCCCACACGGGCACUGAGAUACGGGCCCGACUCCUACGGGAGGCAGCAGUAGGGAAUAUUGGGCAAUGGAUGCAAGUCUGACCCAGCCAUGCCGCGUGCCGGAAGAAGGCCCUCAGGGUUGUAAACGGCUUUUAUUCGGGAAGAAGAGCAUGGAUGCGUCUGUGUGUGACGGUACCGAAUGAAUAAGCACCGGCUAACUCCGUG
rnacentral:rRNA from 1 species